rnacentral:sRNA from 1 species
GGUGCCGGCCGCGCGCUGGUAGUCGCCGGUGUGGCUGGACCUCACCAAUCCCGUGCGCCGCGGCUGGGCCGUCGGAGAGUGCGUGUGCUUCUCUCCUGCACGCGGUGCUUGGACUCGGCCAGGCGGGGUCCGCCGCCAGGGUUUGAGGAUGGGGGAGUAGCUACAGGAAGCGACCCCGCGAUGGCAAGGUAUAUUUUUGUGGAAUGAAAAGGAAGUAUUAGAAAUGAGCUGAAGACCAUUCACAGAUUAAUAUUUUUGGGGACAGAUUUGUGAUGCUUGAUUCACCCUUGAAGUAAUGUAGACAGAAGUUCUCAAAUUUGCAUAUUACAUCAACUGGAACCAGCAGUGAAUCUUAAUGUUCACUUAAAUCAGAACUUGCGUAAGAAAGAGAAUGGGAGUCUGGUUAAAUAAAGAUGACUAUAUCAGAGACUUGAAAAGGAUCAUUCUCUGUUUUCUGAUAGUGUAUAUGGCCAUUUUAGUGGGCACAGAUCAGGAUUUUUACAGUUUACUUGGAGUAUCCAAAACUGCAAGCAGUAGAGAAAUAAGACAAGCUUUCAAGAAAUUGGCAUUGAAGUUACAUCCUGAUAAAAACCCGAAUAACCCAAAUGCACAUGGCGAUUUUUUAAAAAUAAAUAGAGCAUAUGAAGUACUCAAAGAUGAAGAUCUACGGAAAAAGUAUGACAAAUAUGGAGAAAAGGGACUUGAGGAUAAUCAAGGUGGCCAGUAUGAAAGCUGGAACUAUUAUCGUUAUGAUUUUGGUAUUUAUGAUGAUGAUCCUGAAAUCAUAACAUUGGAAAGAAGAGAAUUUGAUGCUGCUGUUAAUUCUGGAGAACUGUGGUUUGUAAAUUUUUACUCCCCAGGCUGUUCACACUGCCAUGAUUUAGCUCCCACAUGGAGAGACUUUGCUAAAGAAGUGGAUGGGUUACUUCGAAUUGGAGCUGUUAACUGUGGUGAUGAUAGAAUGCUUUGCCGAAUGAAAGGAGUCAACAGCUAUCCCAGUCUCUUCAUUUUUCGGUCUGGAAUGGCCCCAGUGAAAUAUCAUGGAGACAGAUCAAAGGACAGUUUAGUGAGUUUUGCAAUGCAGCAUGUUAGAAGUACAGUGACAGAACUUUGGACAGGAAAUUUUGUCAACUCCAUACAAACUGCUUUUGCUGCUGGUAUUGGCUGGCUGAUCACUUUUUGUUCAAAAGGAGGAGAUUGUUUGACUUCACAGACACGACUCAGGCUUAGUGGCAUGUUGGAUGGUCUUGUUAAUGUAGGAUGGAUGGACUGUGCCACCCAGGAUAACCUUUGUAAAAGCUUAGAUAUUACAACAAGUACUACUGCUUAUUUUCCUCCUGGAGCCACUUUAAAUAACAAAGAGAAAAACCGUAUUUUGCUGCUUCAUUGAGAGAAUCAGACCAGCAGAGAGAGAGUUAUAUGACAAAAUAUGCUGAGGAUAAAAUAUUGACAAAUAAAGAAGAUUUGUUAGAAGGGCCUUUUAUACUCAUUUGUGUUUUAAAUAAGAGACUCGGGCCGAAAACAAGUUUAAGAUAAGAUCUGUAUCAUUGUAUUUUACUCUAAAAACUCCUAAGUGGUUUGGUUUUUAGAUGAAAACCUCUAUAAUGAGCAAAAGUCCAUUCCAAUUUUCCACUUCUAAGUUCCUCUUAAUUAAUCUUAAUUAUUGGUUGGGGAAUGAAGUGUCUUUGAUAGUCUAUUAUUCUUCCUUCUAGUGUUAUAGAAAUUCUUAAGUGAAUGUGUAAAACAUUGGCAUUCUGUAAAACAUGGUUAGCAUUAAAAUUAAGCUAAAGAUAAUGUGGUUUUUCUUGAUGAUUGGGAGGUCACUCAGGAUUAUUCUGAGCAUUUUUAUAGAAUACACAUCAUAGUUAAUUAAAAACUCCAGUUAAUGCAACAUCUUAUAAUGGAAUUUAUUGUAUAUCACUAUUUAAGAAACAGCUUAGUUAUAUAAUAUUUUUGAUAAUUGCCAAAAUACACUUUUUUUGAAAAAAGACAUUUGGAAUUGUUUGAAAAACUAUUUACCUUCUAUAAUCAUUUUCCUAAAAAUACUACAUUGGAAAUUGAAAAAACAAAAGAUAUCAAAUAUAAUGAAUAUUUAUUCAAAAAGAUUACAGUGUGAUUUUCUUUUUCUAGUUUCUCAACUCAUUGGAUGCUAAAGAAAUAUAUUUGGAAGUAAUACAUAAUCUUCCAGAUUUUGAACUACUUUCGGCAAACACACUAGAGGAUCGUUUGGCUCAUCAUCGGUGGCUGUUAUUUUUUCAUUUUGGAAAAAAUGAAAAUUCAAAUGAUCCUGAGCUGAAAAAACUAAAAACUCUACUUAAAAAUGAUCAUAUUCAAGUUGGCAGGUUUGACUGUUCCUCUGCACCAGACAUCUGUAGUAAUCUGUAUGUUUUUCAGCCGUCUCUAGCAGUAUUUAAAGGACAAGGAACCAAAGAAUAUGAAAUUCAUCAUGGAAAGAAGAUUCUAUAUGAUAUACUUGCCUUUGCCAAAGAAAGUGUGAAUUCUCAUGUUACCACGCUUGGACCUCAAAAUUUUCCUGCCAAUGACAAAGAACCAUGGCUUGUUGAUUUCUUUGCCCCUUGGUGUCCACCAUGUCGAGCUUUACUACCAGAGUUACGAAGAGCAUCAAAUCUUCUUUAUGGUCAGCUUAAGUUUGGUACAUUAGAUUGUACAGUUCAUGAGGGACUCUGUAACAUGGAGAGUAAAAAGGGACCAUUCGUAUAAUUACCCAUGCCGAUUUCUCAAUGUUUCAAUGACUAUGGUUCUCAUGGCGAAUGGAGCAGCUAUAAAUAAGGAUCAGUAUAACAUUCAGGCUUAUCCAACAACAGUGGUAUUCAACCAGUCCAACAUUCAUGAGUAUGAAGGACAUCACUCUGCUGAACAAAUCUUGGAGUUCAUAGAGGAUCUUAUGAAUCCUUCAGUGGUCUCCCUUACACCUACCACCUUCAACGAACUAGUUACACAAAGAAAACACAACGAAGUCUGGAUGGUUGAUUUCUAUUCUCCGUGGUGUCAUCCUUGUCAAGUCUUAAUGCCAGAAUGGAAAAGAAUGGCCCGGACAUUAACUGGACUGAUCAAUGUGGGCAGUAUAGAUUGCCAACAGUAUCAUUCUUUUUGUGCCCAGGAAAACGUUCAAAGAUACCCUGAGAUAAGAUUUUUUCCCCCAAAAUCAAAUAAAGCUUAUCAGUAUCACAGUUACAAUGGUUGGAAUAGGGAUGCUUAUUCCCUGAGAAUCUGGGGUCUAGGAUUUUUACCUCAAGUAUCCACAGAUCUAACCCCUCAGACUUUCAGUGAAAAAGUUCUACAAGGGAAAAAUCAUUGGGUGAUUGAUUUCUAUGCUCCUUGGUGUGGACCUUGCCAGAAUUUUGCUCCAGAAUUUGAGCUCUUGGCUAGGAUGAUUAAAGGAAAAGUGAAAGCUGGAAAAGUAGACUGUCAGGCUUAUGCUCAGACAUGCCAGAAAGCUGGGAUCAGGGCCUAUCCAACUGUUAAAUUUUAUUUCUACGAAAGAGCAAAGAGAAAUUUUCAAGAAGAGCAGAUAAAUACCAGAGAUGCAAAAGCAAUCGCUGCCUUAAUAAGUGAAAAAUUGGAAACUCUCCAAAAUCAAGGCAAGAGGAAUAAGGAUGAACUUUGAUAAUGUUGAAGAUGAAGAAAAAGUUUAAAAGAAAUUCUGACAGAUGACAUCAGAAGACACCUAUUUAGAAUGUUACAUUUAUGAUGGGAAUGAAUGAACAUUAUCUUAGACUUGCAGUUGUACUGCCAGAAUUAUCUACAGCACUGGUGUAAAAGAAGGGUCUGCAAACUUUUUCUGUAAAGGGCCGGUUUAUAAAUAUUUUAGACUUUGCAGGCUAUAUGGUUCACACAUGAGAACAAGAAUAGAGUCAUCAUGUAUUCUUUGUUAUUUGCUUUUAACAACCUUUAAAAAAUAUUAAAACGAUUCUUAGCUCAGAGCCAUACAAAA